AGUGGUGGUUGGUAUAGAUAGUAAUUAGGCUUUGUCUGUGUCAGGUUUUUCUUUUUCAGGUAAUGAGAGAGAGCAGGCAAAGGAAGGAGACUCAUAAGGGAAACGGUGGAGAUGUACUUGAAGACCUGAAGCUCAGGAAGCAGACUAGUAUGGAGCAUGUGGAGAAACAGGGAAACACACCUCAGUAAUGACAAGUACAUCAUAACAAUUUAGAGUGGAGUGGAGAAACUAGGGAAUCACCUCAACAAUGAUAAGACUUUGAUGGUCAGGUAUCACCUAUCGAUGAUAGAUGUCCUUUCAAGAGGAAGGGGGUGGUGGUGGGCUUGAGCCAGGCUCAGACUACAGGAGUUUUAAAGUCCUAACCAAUAAUGAAAUCUGGUUGCAACACACAUAUGAGGAGAAUCUUAGGUGAAUUAGCCUACCUAAAAUCUUAAACGUGCGCACACUACAAGAUAUUUAAACUGUAAUACUGAAAGUAUUACAUCGCUUUGUAAACAUUUAUUAUUACCAUUUGAUGAGUCUCCCCAUACAGUUUGAUAUAGCGCUUGGACCCGGAAGCGGCUUUGCUUGACGUCAUACUUAACAAGCGGAUUAAGAUUAUAGUGACCGAUAAAACACAUCACUCUCUUCACGAAAAAAUAUCAUUUAUUAUUAUACUAAUAUUAGACCAACUGCCACUACCGACUAUUAUGCACUCAAAAUAUAUUAGGUUUCUAUUUGUGUAGCUGUUAUUGGUGGUUUUAAAUUAAACAAAUGGUGACCAAUAAGAAAUAUGUCCAAGCGAAUAUCUAAUAAUAAUAAUAAUAAUAAUUGGCUUAUAAUCUGUCCAUCAUGCCGUGAUGUGCUGUGCUUUCUAGUUCAAAAGCAAAAAUGUUACUUGUUGCACUGUCUAUAUAGUGUAAAACAUAUAAUAAUUCACUGAAAGAAAUGUAAAAUAUGGUCUGCAGUUAUCUCUCUCUGAAAAAAAAAACUGUCAUAGCAUAUAGGUUUACAGGACUAGAUGCAGGCCUAAUGGUUUUUUAUACAGUGCAUACUAUUCUAUCCCCUAUCCUAUACAAAGCCCUCAGAGAAAAUAUGUAUUUUUAAUUUCCUAAAGCACAUUAUAAUGUUUAAUCAUUAUGUUUUUUAGAGAUAACUGCAAAGUAGUAGACCUAGCUACACAUCACAAUCAUAAAUAUUCGCACAUACAGAAUAAGGUUAGUGGCUAAUGAAAAACGAUAAUUUAAGCUUAUUAUAAAUUAUACAUUCAUUCAUUCAUUUUCUUUUCUUGUCGGCUUAGUACCUUUAUUAAUCUGGGGUUGCC